rnacentral:rRNA from 1 species
AUUGAACGCUGGCGGCAUGCUUUACACAUGCAAGUCGAACGGUAACAGGGUGCUUGCACCGCUGACGAGUGGCGAACGGGUGAGUAAUGCGUCGGAACGUGCCGAGUAGUGGGGGAUAACGCAGCGAAAGUUGUGCUAAUACCGCAUACGUACUGAGGUAGAAAGUGGGGGACCUUCGGGCCUCACGCUAUUCGAGCGGCCGACGUCUGAUUAGCUAGUAGGGGAGGUAAAGGCUCACCUAGGCGACGAUCAGUAGCGGGUCUGAGAGGAUGGUCGGCCACACGUGGACUGAGACACGGCCCAGACUCCUACGGGAGGCAGCAGUGGGGAAUUUUGGACAAUGGGCGAAAGCCUGAUCCAGCCAUGCCGCGUGUCUGAAGAAGGCCUUCGGGUUGUAAAGGACUUUUGUCGGGGAGGAAAUCCCCAGCGUUAAUACCGCUGGGGGAUGACAGUACCUGAAGAAUAAGCACCGGCUAACUACGUGCCAGCCGCCGCCGUAAGAC